rnacentral:lncRNA from 1 species
AAAGACGGAAUUUUCACCACGCCGGCGCUUCGAGUUUUUUGGGGUAGUGGCUGUCGUGGGCGCCCGUUUCAAAAAUUGCAAUGAUCAGCCGGGAGACCGCGAAACGGAAGGAUAUUUUCACUGCGGCCGUUUCGGAGGAGAGGUUAUAAAGAAUUUCGAAGUAAAAGAUUGUGUUUUACUCCGAAACUGGGGAGCAUGUGUUGACGCCGGAUUUCGUCACCAGUAGAAUCGGCGCCAAGAAGAAAA